GCCGCCAUAGCUCAGUCGGUUAGAGCGUGGGUCUAAUAAGCCCAAGCUCGCAGGUUCGACCCCUGCUGGCGGCA
rfam:Caenorhabditis brenneri strain PB2801 C_brenneri-6.0.1_Cont304.1, whole genome shotgun sequence.